rnacentral:tRNA from 1 species
GCCGACGUAACUCAAUUGGCAGAGCAGUGGCUCUGUAAACCAUCGGAUAGGAGUUCAAUUCCCUUGUCGGCU